AUGCAGAUGCAUGGUUCCCUUUUUGUUCUUCCAGGAGAUCGACAAAGCAGGGCGCUCGGACUCUGCUAUCGUAUAUGUGAUUCUGAAGGUAUUUGUGGACUUGACGCCUUGCGUGAAGAAGCCCCUAUUUUUGUCCUUUUGAAUUUUUCAAUUUCAGUAAACCUUCUUUCUAGUAUUGUCCUAGAGAUUGUUAGUACGCAAGGUGGCACGUGCGUAGCUGCAGCCUGCCUGCUGGAUUCGUCAGCUCAACUGAGCCAACCUGAACAAAUAAACAAGUUGAAUGAACCACCAACAUUCGUGCUUUGGUUAAUUUGUAGAUUGAGCUUCGUGCAUUUUUGCUUAAGACAUGUUGGACGUAACCAAUUGAAAGAUCCAUGCAUGUAA
rnacentral:rRNA from 1 species